GUCUCCCUGUAGCUCAGUGGUUAGAACAUCCGACCGGUGUGCAGAAGGUCAUGCGUUCGACUCCCGUCGGGGACU
rnacentral:tRNA from 1 species